CCUGAGCCAGGAUCAAACUCUACCGUACGUAUAGAACACGAAGUGGUUGAUGCCAUGCUUCCAAGAAAAGCUUCUAAGCUUCAGGUAACCAGGAACCGUACCCCAAACCGACACAGGUGGUUGGGUAGAGAAUACCAGGGCGCUUGAGAGAACUCGGGUGAAGGAACUAGGCAAAAUGGCACCGUAACUUCGGGAGAAGGUGCGCCGGUGAGGGUGAAGCAUUUACUGCGUAAGCCCAUGCCGGUCGAAGAUACCAGGCCGCUGCGACUGUUUAUUAAAAACACAGCACUCUGCAAACACGAAAGUGGACGUAUAGGGUGUGACGCCUGCCCGGUGCCGGAAGGUUAAUUGAUGGGGUUAGCUAACGCGAAGCUCUUGAUCGAAGCCCCGGUAAACGGCGGCCGUAACGAUAACGGUCCUAAGGUAGCGAAAUUCCUUGUCGGGUAAGUUCCGACCUGCACGAAUGGCGUAACGAUGGCGGCGCUGUCUCCACCCGAGACUCAGUGAAAUUGAAAUCGCUGUGAAGAUGCAGUGUAUCCGCGGCUAGACGGAAAGACCCCGUGAACCUUUACUAUAGCUUUGCACUGGACUUUGAAUUUGCUUGUGUAGGAUAGGUGGGAGGCUUUGAAGCGUGGACGCCAGUUCGCGUGGAGCCAACCUUGAAAUACCACCCUGGCAACUUUGAGGUUCUAACUCAGGUCCGUUAUCCGGAUCGAGGACAGUGUAUGGUGGGUAGUUUGACUGGGGCGGUCUCCUCCUAAAGAGUAACGGAGGAGUACGAAGGUGCGCUCAGACCGGUCGGAAAUCGGUCGUAGAGUAUAAAGGCAAAAGCGCGCUUGACUGCGAGACAGACACGUCGAGCAGGUACGAAAGUAGGUCUUAGUGAUCCGGUGGUUCUGUAUGGAAGGGCCAUCGCUCAACGGAUAAAAGGUACUCCGGGGAUAACAGGCUGAUACCGCCCAAGAGUUCAUAUCGACGGCGGUGUUUGGCACCUCGAUGUCGGCUCAUCACAUCCUGGGGCUGAAGCCGGUCCCAAGGGUAUGGCUGUUCGCCAUUUAAAGUGGUACGCGAGCUGGGUUUAGAACGUCGUGAGACAGUUCGGUCCCUAUCUGCCGUGGACGUUUGAGAUUUGAGAGGGGCUGCUCCUAGUACGAGAGGACCGGAGUGGACGAACCUCUGGUGUUCCGGUUGUCACGCCAGUGGCAUUGCCGGGUAGCUAUGUUCGGAAUAGAUAACCGCUGAAAGCAUCUAAGCGGGAAACUAGCCUCAAGAUGAGAUCUCACUGGGACCUUGAGUCCCCUGAAGGGCCGUCGAAGACUACGACGUUGAUAGGUUGGGUGUGUAAGCGCUGUGAGGCGUUGAGCUAACCAAUACUAAUUGCCCGUGAGGCUUGAUC
rnacentral:rRNA from 1 species